rfam:Cavia porcellus supercont2_32 genomic scaffold, whole genome shotgun sequence.
AGUUUGAUAGCUCAGUGAUAGAGCACUUAUCUGGCAUGUAAGAAACUCUGGUUUUGAUUUCCAGUAUUGCUA